AGAGCGAACGCUGGCGGCAGGCCUAACACAUGCAAGUCGAGCGCCCGUAGCAAUACGGGAGCGGCAGACGGGAGAGUAACACGUGGGAACGUACCCUUCAGUUCGGAAUAACCCAGGGAAACUUGGGCUAAUACCGAAUACGUCCGUAAGGAGAAAGAUUUAUCGCUGAAGGAUCGGCCCGCGUCUGAUUAGCUUGUUGGUGAGGUAACGGCUCACCAAGGCGACGAUCAGUAGCUGGUCUGAGAGGAUGAUCAGCCUCACUGGGACUGAGACACGGCCCAGACUCCUACGGGAGGCAGCAGUGGGAAUAUUGGACAAUGGGCGCAAGCCUGAUCCAGCCAUGCCGCGUGGAUGAUGAAGGCCCUAGGGUUGUAAAGUCCUUUCGGCGGGGAAGAUAAUGACGGUACCCGCAGAAGAAGCCCCGGCUAACUUCGUGCCAGCAGCCGC
rnacentral:rRNA from 1 species